UACACAUGCAGUCGAACGAUGAACCGGGUGCUUGCNCCNNUGGGAUUAGUGGCGAACGGGUGAGUAACACGUGAGUAACCUGCCCUGGACUCUGGGAUAACCCCGAGAAAUCGGAGCUAAUACCGGAUAUGACCAUUCUCCGCAUGGGGGGUGGUGGAAAGUUUUUCGGUCUGGGAUGGACUCGCGGCCUAUCAGCUUGUUGGUGAGGUAAUGGCUCACCAAGGCGUCGACGGGUAGCCGGCCUGAGAGGGUGACCGGCCACACUGGGACUGAGACACGGCCCAGACUCCUACGGGAGGCAGCAGUGGGGAAUAUUGCACAAUGGGCGCA
rnacentral:rRNA from 1 species